CUGGGGUGUUAUGUAGCGAUCACGUGUAUCAGAUUUUAAAAUAGCUUCCUAUUCCGUAACUCCCGUGCCCUGCUGUAAAGAUAGGUUGUUCACUUCUUCCAUCUCCUAUGAUGAAGAAUGAAUACCGGGCGGCUAGAACAAAUGUUCUGCUUGCGUGCAAGCCAAACGACGUUUCUCUCCAUGUCGUUUUCUCUUUGCUAUAGCGCGGACGUUGAACUUACAGGCGAUACGAGGUGCCGACUUAUUUGUCAUGUUCUUGUUUCCCCAACUGUUGGACCCGAAGAUCACUAAAAUUUGGGUGGAUGAAAUGGUUAGAUGCAAAAUACCAAAGGGGAAACGAGAUGUGGUUCGAUCCCGAUCGGUACCAAAUGAGUUCGUAAUGUAAUUUCCGGUUUCAAAAACCCAAAACUCGUUAAUCUGAGGAUUCACAGUCUCCCUGUUCAACCAUUUCAAGUUACUCAGUGGAAGAAGUUAGAGUGUGCUUGGUAGUGUCGUGAUUUCGUUUGAGGGUUAGCGCAAUUAGGAGAUCAGUGAAUGUGUGGAGACUUUGCGGGCAAGUGCGAGGAAACAGAGAGCCGUGCGACGGCUUUUAAUUCCAGAUUUUGCGCCUGGCGAAGCUACCACCGCACCGCCAGCAAAGAUCAUCCCACCUCCUGCCACCACACUCUGG